GACACCCGACGCGGGAGUCCCGGGACCGGGGCUGAGAGUGGGCCAAUCACCGGCCCUGACCGUUGCACCUGAUCCGGGUCAUGCCGGCGAAGGGAGAGGGAAUGUCUGAGCG
rnacentral:ncRNA from 2 species